CAUCAGCUGCUAUUUUACAUCAUUUUCCUCCGACCCUCACCCCUAACAUCCAUGUCCUGUUAUGCCAGGCCCCUGUCUUUAGCUUCUACACCCUCCACCAAUGGCCUGUGCCAAUCAGUCUCUGUCUUGGAUAAUAAACCUGGGCUCCUGAUCACUACCCCACUACAUAGAGACCCAGCCAGCGGGAAAUAUACAAGCAAUGUCCAGAGUCCAACUACCUUUAACCUGUUCAGGGUUCUCUACAUCAAGCUAUCGGGGGAGGAGGGGAUGGUUUCUCAAAAAGUAAAGCAUCUCACAAUUGACAAAGAUUCCCUGCAGGAAGGCUUCCUUCAACUGUGUUUAAACAUGUGUGGAGUGUCUUAUGAGACUCUCCAAUGUGAGAUAUUAUUAGAACUGGUUCAGGGCCCCACAAAUUUCAUAUUUCCAGCAGCCUUUCCACCCCCCGUGAGUCUUCCCCACAGAAACUGCAUAGAACUAACUUGUGACACAGAAAGGUGUUUGAAACCAGGUGAUGUUAUGAAACUGAAGCACAGAUUACUUUAUGAGUUGGGACAGAGGGGGGACACACCACAAAAUGCCUUUUUGAUUGUUGGGGCCCACUCACCAGAAACAGUGUGGAUUUCACCAAGUCUGUGGCUACCGGGCCAACCACUAUAUAUAAACAUAAUAAACCUGUCUCACAAACCAUUGCUCUUGUCUAGACAUUCCAUACUGGCACUUGCCAUCCCUAUAUCUUAUACUCGCGCCCCCGCCUCUGCCCACGAGGCGACAGAUACUACCAUCUGCUAUUCUGGAAACAGCAGAGUGUUGACCUGCGGUGCAGCACACGUGCUGGAAGCCCACUUCAAACAUCCUCCAAUAACUUCCAGAGCGAUCACAGAUGGCGGAGAGUCACCCAUGGAGUGGCAGACCCUCUAGUUCCCCACGAAGGUCAUCUACAUUUGCCAACUAUGCCUGGAAGCAUACAAUCAAGCCAAACAGGAUUUUGAUACGCAAUGCCCGGCCACUGGUCAUCAAUUUUGCCACUGAUAGGCUUCCUAUCAUCAAGCCAGUGGAUCAGAUCAUACUGGAAGACGCGGGCACCGUGGGGUCCGCCCUUAAUCUACCCAGCGAGUCUAUCUGCACUAGACCAGGCCUGCUCCUGUUUGGACACUACAAUAACGAUGUGCCAGUCACCCCCCUGGUGGACUUUAAGCCCGAUGAGCCCCUCCAGGUUGUCCUCACAGCCCACAAGACCAUAGUGGUGCCACCAGGAGAAUUUGUCAUGAUCAUCGUGUGUGUAAAUUUUGAAAAAAUAAAAUCCCUGGACCUCAUCAUCCAUGAAAUGUCAACCAGCAACAUCCCCCUACCACCCACCUGUGGGCAGACCUUCAAAAACUUCAAUACAGCCACCCCCUCUCUGGAAAUCUAUGGAGAUGUCAUAGAGUGUAAUGACGACCAGAAGACCUGCGUCUUCACAGCCGUCUUUCCCGGGCUCCACAGGCGCUGCAGCCUCCACGGUCCCCUAAAUUUUAUGGGAUUUGUCAACAGUGUGAAUAUAACUGGAACUAUCCUCAGGGUGUACUAUUCUGGUGUCAGUGAAGCUGCCCCAGACAGCAUACUUGUCAAAUUCAAAACCUCCUCUGCCGUGGCCUUCAGUAAGAACCCGUGCCAAGGACAUGUUCCCAGUCAUGAUGAUACUUUGAUUCCCCUGGUGUAUACCGGACCCACCCUCCGUCUCCUCCCGCUGGAAACCAUCAGUAUUCCCUUCAAUACCUCUUUUGUGGCCCAGAACCCUGACCUGAAAGCCAUCAUCUAUGACAACAACUUAAAAGACAUCAGGAUCUCUGCAACCAUGUGGACAGGAGAACAGACACCCAUCUUGGCCCACAAUUUAACCGCCGCAGUUAAACUUAUCCACAGUGGGACCGUGUUUGCCAGGGCAGCCUUUUUCUCCACUAAAGAGAACAAGAAGGCCUGCACACUUAAACUCUGCCCCUCAACCAUCCUUCUUCCAGGUGGUGAGCUGAGUCUAGAUACCUCUACCCUCCCCAACUGUUUCAAAUGAUUCUUGUGAGUGCUGACAGGCUUAAUAAAGAAAAUGAUUAAAUGAAA
rnacentral:tmRNA from 1 species